GAUGAACGCUGACAGAACGCUUAACACAUGCAAGUCAACUUGAAGCAGUUUCGGCUGUGGAUGGUGGCGGACGGGUGAGUAACGCGUAAAUAACUUGCCCUUUAGACUGGGACAACUGUUGGAAACGACAGCUAAUACCGGAUAUUAUGAAACCUUGGCAUCUAGGGAUUAUGAAAGCUAUAUGCGCUAGAGGAGAGAUUUGCGUCCUAUUAGCUAGUUGGUGAGGUAAUGGCUCACCAAGGCGACGAUAGGUAGCCGGCCUGAGAGGGUGAACGGCCACAAGGGGACUGAGACACGGCCCUUACUCCUACGGGAGGCAGCAGUGGGGAAUAUUGGACAAUGGACCAAGAGUCUGAUCCAGCAAUUCUGUGUGUUUGAUGAAGGCCUUCGGGUUGUAAAGAACUUUAAGUAGGGAAGAAGAAAGUGACGGUACCUACAGAAUAAGCGACGGCUAAAUACGUGCCAGCAGCCGCGGUAA
rnacentral:rRNA from 1 species